rnacentral:rRNA from 1 species
UACGGAAGGCAGCAGUAGGGAAUCUUCCGCAAUGGACGAAAGUCUGACGGAGCAACGCCGCGUGAACGAUGAAGGCUUUCGGGUCGUAAAGUUCUGUUGUUAGGGAGAACAAGUACCGGAGUAACUGCCGGUACCUUGACGGUACCUAACCAGAAAGCCACGGCUAACUACGUGCCAGCAGCCGCGGUAAUACGUAGGUGGCAAGCGUUGUCCGGAAUUAUUGGGCGUAAAGCGCGCGCAGGCGGUCCUUUUAAGUCUGAUGUGAAAGCCCACGGCUCAACCGUGGAGGGUCAUUGGAAACUGGGGGACUUGAGUGCAGAAGAGGAGAGUGGAAUUCCACGUGUAGCGGUGAAAUGCGUAGAGAUGUGGAGGAACACCAGUGGCGAAGGCGACUCUCUGGUCUGUAACUGACGCUGAGGCGCGAAAGCGUGGGGAGCGAACAGGGAUUAGAUACC